rnacentral:rRNA from 1 species
UACGGGGGGGGAAAGCGUUGUUCGGAAUUACUGGGCGUAAAGGGCUCGUAGGUGGCCAACUAAGUCGGACGUGAAAUCCCUCGGCUUAACCGGGGAACUGCGUCCGAUACUGGUUGGCUUGAGUUUGGGAGAGGGAUGCGGAAUUCCAGGUGUAGCGGUGAAAUGCGUAGAUAUCUGGAGGAACACCGGUGGCGAAGGCGGCAUCCUGGACCAAUACUGACGCUGAGGAGCGAAAGCCAGGGGAGCAAACGGG